UGAACGCUGGCGGCGUGCUUAACACAUGCAAGUCGGAUGCGAACGGUGCUUUCGGGCGUUGAGUAGCAUGGCAGACGGGUGAGGAGCGCGUAUCUGACUGGACUCAGGGUGGGGGAUAGUCCCUCGCAAAGGGGGUUGAAUACCGCCAUGUGCGUCGGUGCUGUGCAGGGCAUCUAUGCAAAGUUGGCCUCUGACGGGCACGCUGAUGGCCUGAGCACAGGGAUGCGUCCUAUUAGCUAGCUGGUGGGGUAAGGGCCUACCAGGAGCGACUGAUGGGUAGCGUGGUCUUGAGACGAUGAUCAUCGCACACUGGUGACUGUCGACCCGGCCCACGACUCCUACGGGCAGGCAGCAGUUGGGGAAUCUUGCGCAAGUGGGCGCAAGCCUGACGCAGCAACUCCGCGUGCAUGACGACGCCUUUCGAGGUGUAAAGUGCUGUCGACCGGGACGAAGGGGCGAGGGUGAACAGCUUUCGCGCAUGACGGUACCGGUGGAGUGAAGCCCCGGCUAACU
rnacentral:rRNA from 1 species